CGAUGAAAAUGAUGAAGGAAAAUAGAUGAAUGAUUGUCCAUGAUUUCAAACAUUCUCUAUAUCGCUACGUUCUUUCUGAUUCAUCU